rnacentral:tRNA from 1 species
GUAGCUCAGUGGUAGAGUGCUUGCCUUGCAUGCAUGAGGCCCGGGGCUCGAUUCCUCAGC